AACGCACAUUGCGCCCCUCGGUAUUCCGGGGGGCACGCCUGUCCGAGCGCCAUUACACACUCCAAGCCGUGCUUGAUGUUGGGCGAUGUCUCUGUGCGGCCGCGACCGGUUUCCGGCAGCGGACGCGAGGGAGACACGCCUGGAACACGUGGGCGCCGACCGCCGGACCACGAGCGUAGCAAGACGUCAGUCAUUUCCGCUCGGAGGUUGGGACGGUGGUGAGGCCGCCAGACUCUCGAUUUGUAUCACACAGAGUUUGGCCUCGGAUCAGGCGGGGAUACCCGCUGAACUUAA
rnacentral:misc_RNA from 1 species